AAGCAACACUCUGUGGCAGAUGGACAAAACUGUCUGACACAAUUUGAGCUUGCUAUAGCAAGAAAGUCUAACCUAUUCCGGUGUUCUCUUCCCCGUGAGACAAGCCGUUAUAUAGGCUCAAACAAA